GAGGGUAUAGCUCAGUGGUAGAGUGUGUGCUUAAACAUGCACGAGGCCCUGGGUUCAAUCCCUAGUACUUCCA
rnacentral:tRNA from 1 species